rnacentral:rRNA from 1 species
UACGAAGGGGGCUAGCGUUGCUCGGAAUCACUGGGCGUAAAGCGCACGUAGGCGGAUCUUUAAGUCAGGGGUGAAAUCCCGGAGCUCAACUCCGGAACUGCCUUUGAUACUGAGGGUCUCGAGUUCGGGAGAGGUGAGUGGAACUGCGAGUGUAGAGGUGAAUUCGUAGAUAUUCGCAAGAACACCAGUGGCGAAGGCGGCUCACUGGCCCGAUACUGACGCUGAGGAGCGAAAGCGUGGGGAGCGAACAGG